AACAGGUGGCUAAGACUGCUCCCUGCGCGAUGGAGGUGUAUGGAACUGUGGCAGAUCCUGAAAAGUACCAAAGUGAGAUGGCCAGGCUGCCCACUGCUAUGUCCCAUUCAGCUGCACUGCGCACACCCAGUUCCAGGCAACAGCGGAUUUAGUUUGUUAAUCGCUGCACGGGAUUUUUUUGGGAGGAGGAGGAUUUUUCGUGAGAUCGCGGCUGGGGAGAGAAACCUUAAACCUCCCAUCCCUGAGAGUGGCAAUGCUGGGCAUUGCAUUUUAAGAAGAAUGCAGACCAACUGGAAUGAGUUCAGAGGAAAGCCACAAGGAUGGUCAGUAACAUGGAAAAUAAGUCCUAGGAAGAAAGGUUGACAGAACUGGGUAUGAUUAGCCUGGAGAGGUAAAGACUGGGGACUAAAGUACAUACUAUUUCAAUU